CAAGGAGUAGUUUAACUAGAAUGUCAGCUUUGGGAGUUGAUGGUGGAGCGAUGGUGUGUUUCCUCCUUGA
rnacentral:tRNA from 2 species